rnacentral:tRNA from 1 species
GCUGAGGCGGGUCGGUGAACAACAUGCGUUGACUGAAAAUCAGGGAGUCGACAGUUCAAAUCUGUCUCUCGGCA